rnacentral:rRNA from 1 species
ACAUUUCUUAUUAAAUUUAAAUAAGUAAGACCUGCUCAAUGAUAAAAUUCAAUAGCCGCAAAUUUUAUGUGCUAAGGUAGCAUAAUCAUUUGUUUUUUAAUUAAAAACUAGAAUGAAAGGUUAUACAUUCAAAUUUCUUUAUUAAUUUUUUAUAAAAUAAUUUAUAUUAAAUAUAAAAAUAUAUUUUUAAAUAAAAAAGACGACAAGACCCUAUUAAAUUUAACUUAUAGUUUAGCUGGGGAAGCUUUUUAAAUAAAAUUUUAUUAAAAUAUUUUAAAAUAAUUUUUUAAUUAAAAUUAAAACAAAUUACUAUAGGGAUAACAGCGUUAUAUUUUUUAAAAGUUCUUAUUUAAAAAAAUGAUUGCGACCUCGAUGUUGAAUUAUAUUUUCUAUAUUAAUGCAAUAAUUAUAAAAGUAGAUCUGUUCGAUCUUUAAAAUAUUACAUGA